CGGGACGGGUGAGUGGUGUCUGGGAAACUGCCUGAUGGAGGGGGAUAACUACUGGAAACGGUAGCUAAUACCGCAUAAUGUCGCAAGACCAAAGAGGGGGACCUUCGGGCCUCUUGCCAUCGGAUGUGCCCAGAUGGGAUUAGCUUGUUGGUGGGGUAACGGCUCACCAAGGCGACGAUCCCUAGCUGGUCUGAGAGGAUGACCAGCCACACUGGAACUGAGACACGGUCCAG
rnacentral:rRNA from 1 species